GUGCUUUAGGAAUGAACAAAGUCCCACAUAUUCAUAUCCAUUCUUUUCACUUUGUCAGCGCUCUUUCUUUUAUGUCUUGUUGAUCCUUGUUGGAUGGAAGAUCU
rfam:Cucumis melo, WGS project CAJI01000000 data, contig: 19581